rnacentral:rRNA from 1 species
GAUAACUAUUGGAAACGAUAGCUAAUACCGCAUAACAAUGGAUGACCCAUGUCAUUUAUUUGAAAGGGGCAAAUGCUCCACUACAAGAUGGACCUGCGUUGUAUUAGCUAGUAGGUGAGGUAACGGCUCACCUAGGCGACGAUACAUAGCCGACCUGAGAGGGUGAUCGGCCACACUGGGACUGAGACACGGCCCAGACUCCUACGGGAGGCAGCAGUAGGGAAUCUUCGGCAAUGGGGGCAACCCUGACCGAGCAACGCCGCGUGAGUGAAGAAGGUUUUCGGAUCGUAAAGCUCUGUUGUAAGUCAAGAACGAGUGUGAGAGUGGAAAGUUCACACUGUGACGGUAGCUUACCAGAAAGGGACGGCUAACUACGUGCCAGCAGCCGCGGUAAUACGUAGGUCCCGAGCGUUGUCCGGAUUUAUUGGGCGUAAAGCGAGCGCAGGCGGUUCGAUAAGUCUGAAGUUAAAGGCUGUGGCUCAACCAUAGUUCGCUUUGGAAACUGUCAAACUUGAGUGCAGAAGGGGAGAGUGGAAUUCCAUGUGUAGCGGUGAAAUGCGUAGAUAUAUGGAGGAACACCGGUGGCGAAAGCGGCU